rnacentral:lncRNA from 1 species
UCUUGUCUUUUUCCCUUUUCGGGCAGGUAUUCUGCUGCUACUCAAGGAACAAUAUAUGUGUGGAGGUGGCUAGUUCAAAUCCACCUCUGCAGGCCUUGGGAUUAGCGCCAUGCUACUUGCUUGAUUAAUUGAAUUGAACCACCUGAAUUUUCACCAGGUCUGCUGUGGAAUCUUACAAUCAUUUAUACCUGCCCAAACAACUUGUUCAUCUAUGUCCUUUAUGUAAUAAGUUAAACAUUCAUACAAGGCAUCGCAUCAUGAAAACACAAUCAAACCUUCUUCACUCUUAA